rnacentral:rRNA from 1 species
GGCCCAGACUCCUACGGAGGCAGCAGUAGGAAUCUUCCACAUGGACGAAAGUCUGAUGGAGCAACGCCGCGUGAGUGAAGAAGGUUUUCGGAUUGUAAAACUCUGUUGUUGGAGAAGAAUGUAUCUGAUAGUAACUGAUCAGGUAGUGACGGUAUCCAACCAGAAAGCCACGGCUAACUACGUGCCAGCAGCCGCGGUAAUACGUAGGUGGCAAGCGUUGUCCGGAUUUAUUGGGCGUAAAGCGAGCGCAGGCGGUUUCUUAAGUCUGAUGUGAAAGCCUUCGGCUCAACCGAAGAAGUGCAUCGGAAACUGGGAAACUUGAGUGCAGAAGAGGACAGUGGAACUCCAUGUGUAGCGGUGAAAUGCGUAGAUAUAUGGAAGAACACCAGUGGCGAAGGCGGCUGUCUGGUCUGUAACUGACGCUGAGGCUCGAAAGCAUGGGUAGCAAACAGGAUUAGAUACCCUGGUAGUCCAUGCCGUAAACGAUGAGUGCUAGGUGUUGGAGGGUUUCCGCCCUUCAGUGCCGCAGCUAACGCAUUAAGCACUCCGCCUGGGGAGUACGACCGCAAGGUUGAAACUCAAAGGAAUUGACGGGGGCCCGCACAAGCGGUGGAGCAUGUGGUUUAAUUCGAAGCAACGCGAAGAACCUUACCAGGUCUUGACAUCCUUUGACCACUCUAGAGAUAGAGCUUUCCCUUCGGGGACAAAGUGACAGGUGGUGCAUGGUUGUCGUCAGCUCGUGUCGUGAGAUGUUGGGUUAAGUCCCGCAACGAGCGCAACCCUUAUUACUAGUUGCCAGCAUUUAGUUGGGCACUCUAGUGAGACUGCCGGUGACAAACCGGAGGAAGGUGGGGACGACGUCAAAUCAUCAUGCCCCUUAUGACCUGGGCUACACACGUGCUACAAUGGAUGGUACAACGAGUUGCGAGACCGCGAGGUUUAGCUAAUCUCUUAAAACCAUUCUCAGUUCGGAUUGUAGGCUGCAACUCGCCUACAUGAAGCCGGAAUCGCUAGUAAUCGCGGAUCAGCAUGCCGCGGUGAAUACGUUCCCGGGCCUUGUACACACCGCCCGUCACACCAUGAGAGUUUGUAACACCCAAAGCCGGUGAGGUAACCCUUCGGGGAGCCAGCCGUCUAAG